rnacentral:rRNA from 1 species
CCCUUAGAUGUUCUGGGCCGCACGCGCGCUACACUGACGAAUGCAACGAGCUUAUAACCUUGGCCGAAAGGUCUGGGUAAUCUCCAAAUUUCGUCGUGAUGGGGAUAGAUUAUUGCAAUUAUUAAUCUUCAACGAGGAAUGCCUAGUAAGCGCAAGUCAUCAGCUUGCGUUGAUUACGUCCCUGCCCUUUGUACACACCGCCCGUCGCUCCUACCGAUUGAAUGGUCCGGUGAAGCGUUCAGACCGUGGCCUUUGGACGGUUCGCCGUCUGUUGGCUGCGGGAAGUUCGUUAAACCUUAUCAUUUAGAGGAAGGAGAAGUCGUANCA